rnacentral:lncRNA from 1 species
UUUAUACAUCAGGAGCUAAAUCACUGAGAAAUUUGUGUUUUGUCAGGAGAAGUCAGUGGCAGAGAGAUAAAUGGCUGUGGAGUGCCUGAACCACAAAGCUGCCAUAGAUCAGUGGAAAUGAUGGACCAUGGAGCUACCCACUGCAUGCCUCAUACCUGGGUAAGUGGUAUACCAGGAGUUACACCGCUGGGAACCUGUACAAGCAGAGAGGUAAGUCUGUUUUUAGGAAAAUUCUCAAUGGAUCCCUGAAACCUGCACCUUCAGUCAUUUGU